GAUGAACGCUAGCGGCAGGCUUAAUACAUGCAAGUCAAGGGGGUAGCAAUACAACCGGCGCACGGGUGAGUAACACGUACACAACAUACCAUAUACUGAGGUAUAGCUUCGGGAAACUGAAGGUAAUCCCUCAUAGUAUUGUGAAAGGGCAUCUUUUUACAAUUAAAGUUUCGACGGUAUAUGAUUGGUGUGCGUUUGAUUAGCUAGUUGGUAGGGUAACGGCCUACCAAGGCAACGAUCAAUAGCUGGCGUGAGAGCGCGACCAGCCACACUGGAACUGAGACACGGUCCAGACUCCUACGGGAGGCAGCAGUAGGGAAUAUUGGACAAUGGGCGAAAGCCUGAUCCAGCCAUGCCGCGUGAUAGAUGAAGGCCCUCUGGGUUGUAAAUAUCUUUUAUCUGGGAAGAAACACUUCUAUUCUUAGAAGCUUGACGGUACCAGAGGAAUAAGCACCGGCUAACUCCGUGCCAGCAGCCGCGGUAAUGUAUCGUACGC
rnacentral:rRNA from 1 species